rnacentral:lncRNA from 1 species
GCAGAGGACCAUAGGCAGGGCUGGGAACAAGGGUCACCCAGAAGCGAGUGCUUAAGUCUCUGACCAUCAGCGUGCACAGCCCCAGCUGCCAGUCUGGGGAGAGGAACCAAGCCUACAGGUACAGAUUUGUCAUGGAUGCUUCCAGCCCUGGAAACAAGCGCAAGGAAUUUCCCCUCCUGGUGUUUAUGGUUUAGGUCCUCUCCAUUUGCUUACAUCAUUGUUCCGUCUUUGUUAGAAGCUAUUUUAUUGACUCGUGAACAGAUGAUGUAUGAAUUCAGCACAGAACUUGGAAGACAGAAGAAGAUAUAACACGUACCUCCCUCUCCCACCCCAGGCUCUCUGGCCUUUCCCCGAAGCUCCUGAUGAGUCAGUAUGGUUUUAUGUACCAAACACACAUGUAAAUAUACCCUUUUAUAGCGGGAUAGAUACCGUAUAAACAGUAUUUUCUCCUAGUGGUUAGUGUGUCCUCUGUG